CCUCUCAAUCGUCGCCAGUUCCUUGCUUCUCCAUCGGCGAAGGCCCGUCUGCCCUACAGUACGCCAGCGACCACACACCUGUCCGCCUCCGCGAUCCCGUACCUGCGCUAGAACGUCGCUGGAACGCAUCCUGCUCGAAGACAGGGUCACGCCACCGUUGUUUACCCGGUCACCGAUCUUCGUCUCAUCAUGUGAGUAUCCCACAGGUUCGGUGUUUUUAACUUGAUCAAUGUGGCUUCAACUGAUAGCAGAUUCGAUCCAUACGAAUUUCAACUUCAGUUCAUAAUAAGAUGAUUCGCCAAUUCCUCUCUUCUGAAUCAUUGAUUUAUUUAAUCGGUAAGAAUCUUUGGUGUUAUUUGCUGGAUCUGAAUCUUUCAUCUAUUACAGCUAAGUGAAUUAUUUAAUCAGGAAGAAACCUGGGUACUCUUCUCACUCUACUUUGCACAAUCCUUUUUUGGUUGAAUUGUCUGUUUCCUGUCCCUUUGAACUGCUUGUGGAUACUACCAUAUGGUGCGUUACUACAUGGUCUUUAUGUUCCUGUGAAAUGGCAAAUUGUAGUAAGUCACUCCAUUUUAUAUUUCUUUUGAUCGACUACCAAAACUCAGGCACCCAUUAUGUAUUUUCAAUAUCAUCCACGCACACAUAUUUGCGUAGUAGGUACUAGCACACCAUGGGAAUUUUAUUCAGAAUCAAAGGAAAAUCUUACUUGAACAUACAAGAUAGAGUUCGCAAUCUCACUUUUUACGUAGAUGAUACAGCCUUUCAAUUUGUUCGCAGUUAUUUCUUCUUUUUUUGUUAGGAAACUGCAAUGCCAGUUAGAAUGUUAUUGUCAAGUUGCAGUUCUCCAUGUUCAUAUUUAGGGCAUAUAGUAAGUUCUUGACCCAUCUCAAUUCCAAUAUAUGUUCAUGGUUUAUCUCAUUGUUGCACGCCAACCAGAUAUGUAUCUUUUCUUUGAAUUAGGACCAAAAAAGUUGUGGACUAUGCAGUCGAGCUUGUCAUGCUAUUGAACACAUAUCUGAUGAUUGGUUAGAUGCAGCAAAACCAGAUCAAAAGAAUGAUCUAAAACGGCUAUUGGCAGUGAAGUUCCAAUUGAGGAAAGAACACAGAUUGAACAUGAAAUAGAAAGUCGUCUUCUUUUAUACAGUGAGAAGGAUACCAGGGCAUAGAGCAAGAGAGACAGAGAGUUGGAGCGUACCACGGUUGGAUUUUUCUUGGUGUCGAGGAGGGCGCCGCUGAGGCCAUCGACGACACCAUGGGAGAACUCAGUAUGGAGAGCAACGCAGCCUCCCACAUUAACCACGAGAGGGGCUCCAUAUUUACCGAUGGCAACUAACCUGAAUCAGCCUCCGCUAAUGGGCUGUUAUCGUUCAUGACUCACUGUCGUUUUCGGUAGGGAAGGCCUUCCCGUCAACCUGUCUAAGGAGAUCCUGAAAGCUAUCUGCGUCCAGGCUCUCGGUCAGUUGAGAUGCCAGCUUCUCGGUUAGUUUAUUGGCAAGCAGAGUGAGAGACCCUGCUUUAGAGGGAAAGUGCAAGGCAUCUGGUGAAUAAGACUGAAAGUUUUGAGUAGGAAGCUGAUUCAUUAGCAUUUCUUAAAAGGAAAAAUAACUGAUCCAUAAGCAACGAUAACUGCUACUGCAUGAAUCAAAUCGCCUUCUCUGCUACGGCUACAACAUCAAUUUCAUUCACUGCUCGCAAUUAAUUUUUCCUUGUCAUCAGUGUUU